CCUGCCUUGGAGUGGGGAAUAACAGUUGGAAACAGCUGCUAAUACCGCAUGAUGCAGUUGAGUCGCAUGGCUCUGACUGCCAAAGAUUUAUCGCUCUGAGAUGGACUCGCGUCUGAUUAGCUAAUUGGCGGGGUAACGGCCCACCAAGGCGACGAUCAGUAGCCGGACUGAGAGGUUGGCCGGCCACAUUGGGACUGAGACACGGCCCAGACUCCUACGGGAGGCAGCAG
rnacentral:rRNA from 1 species